rnacentral:rRNA from 1 species
AGUGAACGCUGGCGGCGUGCCUAAUACAUGCAAGUCGAGCGAACAGAUGAGGAGCUUGCUCCUCUGACGUUAGCGGCGGACGGGUGAGUAACACGUGGAUAACCUACCUAUAAGACUGGGAUAACUUCGGGAAACCGGAGCUAAUACCGGAUAAUAUAUUGAACCGCAUGGUUCAAUAGUGAAAGACGGUUUUGCUGUCACUUAUAGAUGGAUCCGCGCCGCAUUAGCUAGUUGGUAAGGUAACGGCUUACCAAGGCAACGAUGCGUAGCCGACCUGAGAGGGUGAUAGGCCACACUGGAACUGAGACACGGUCCAGACUCCUACGGGAGGCAGCAGUAGGGAAUCUUCCGCAAUGGGCGAAAGCCUGACGGAGCAACGCCGCGUGAGUGAUGAAGGUCUUCGGAUCGUAAAACUCUGUUAUUAGGGAAGAACAAAUGUGUAAGUAACUAUGCACGUCUUGACGGUACCUAAUCAGAAAGCCACGGCUAACUACGUG